ensembl:misc_RNA Metazoa_SRP Metazoan signal recognition particle RNA
GCCGGGCGUGGUGGCGCAUGCCUGUAGUCCCAGCUACUCAGGAGGCUGAGGUGGGAGGAUGUCUUGAGCCUGGGAGCUGGAGGUUGCAGUGAGCUAUGCUUGUGCCACUGUACUCCAGCCUGGGCAACAGAGCAAGACACUAUCUCAA